rnacentral:rRNA from 1 species
AGUCGAGAAUAAUUCACAAUGGGGGCAACCCUGAUGGUGCAACGCCGCGUGGAGGAUGAAGGUCUUCGGAUUGUAAACUCCUGUCAUCCGGGAGCAAGACCUGGCCGUGAAUAGCGGACAGGGUUGAUAGUACCGGAAGAGGAAGGGACGGCUAACUUCGUGCCAGCAGCCGCGGUAAUACGAAGGUCCCGAGCGUUGUUCGGAAUCACUGGGCGUAAAGGGAGCGUAGGCGGCGCGGUAAGUCAGAUGUGAAAUCCCGGGGCUCAACCCCGGAACUGCAUCCGAUACUGCCGUGCUAGAGUAAUGGAGAGGUAGCUGGAAUUCUUGGUGUAGCAGUGAAAUGCGUGGAUAUCAAGAGGAACACUCGUGGCGAAAGCGAGCUACUGGACAACUCCUGACGCUGAGGCUCGAAGGCCAGGGGAGCGAA